CCCGGGGUAAAGUGAAAUGCCGGGGCAAAGUGAAAAUUAAUUAUACAUCUGAUAUUUGUACCGACAUCUACACGAAUUUUUGUGAAAUAUAUGCGUAAUAGAGGCACCAUAGAUUAUAUGUAGCGGAAUCACUUCCACACUAACCUCCAAUCAUUUUACUCUGUCAUUUGUGGUUUGUGGUGCACAUGUUGUAACUUUUCAUGACGAGCAUGGUCCGUAAAUAUAAACGAAAGAGUACUCAACACUCGUGGAGCGAGGAAGGUAUGAAGAAUGCAAUCAGCGAUUGUAAAGCAGGAAACUUAAGUGUUGCAAUGGCAGCCAAAACAUAUGAUGUUCCCCUCACUACACUAUAUAGGAAAAUGAAAUUAAAUAGUUCAGCUGAGGAAGCUUCGCAGAAAAAACUAGGGAGGUAUCGACCUACGUUUACCAAGGAGCAAGAACAGCAGCUACGGGACUACAUUUUACUUAUGGAAAAACGGCUUUUUGGUUUAAGUAUGCGAGACUUCAGGUCUCUAGCCUACCAAUACGCAGAAUUAAAUAGGAUACCGC